rnacentral:rRNA from 1 species
UCCUGGCUCAGAUUGAACGCUGGCGGCAUGCCUCACACAUGCAAGUCGAACGCGAAAGGGGGGCAACCCCCGAGUAGAGUGGCGAACGGGUGGGUAACACAUCGGAACGUGCCCAGUAGUGGGGGACAACCUCGAGAAAUCGAGGCUAAUACCGCAUACGACCCACGGGUGAAAGCGGGGGACCGCAAGGCCUCGCGCUAUUGGAGCGGCCGAUGUCCGAUUAGCUAGUUGGCGGGGUAAGAGCCCACCAAGGCGACGAUCGGUAGCUGGUCUGAGAGGACGACCAGCCACACUGGGACUGAGACACGGCCCAGACUCCUACGGGAGGCAGCAGUGGGGAAUUUUGGACAAUGGGCGCAAGCCUGAUCCAGCCAUGCCGCGUGCGGGAAGAAGGCCUUCGGGUUGUAAACCGCUUUCGGCCGGAACGAAAUCGCCCGGGUGAACAUCCCGGGUGGAUGACGGUACCGGAAGAAGAAGCACCGGCUAACUACGUGCCAGCAGCCGCGGUAAUACGUAGGGUGCGAGCGUUAAUCGGAAUUACUGGGCGUAAAGCGUGCGCAGGCGGUCUCGUAAGACAGGUGUGAAAUCCCCGGGCUCAACCUGGGAACUGCGCUUGUGACUGCGAGGCUGGAGUGUGGCAGAGGGAGGUGGAAUUCCACGUGUAGCAGUGAAAUGCGUAGAGAUGUGGAGGAACACCGAUGGCGAAGGCAGCCU